UGCAGAGGGUGCGAGCGUUAAUCGGAAUUACUGGGCGUAAAGCGCGCGUAGGCGGCUUUGCAAGUCGAGUGUGAAAUCCCCAGGCUUAACCUGGGAACUGCAUUCGAGACUGCAUGGCUAGAGUAUGGGAGAGGGAAGUGGAAUUUCAGGUGUAGCGGUGAAAUGCGUAGAUAUCUGAAGGAACAUCAGCGGCGAAAGCGACUUCCUGGACCAAUACUGACGCUCAUGUGCGAAAGCGUGGGGAGCAAACAGG
rnacentral:rRNA from 1 species